rnacentral:rRNA from 1 species
CCCCGAGCUUAACUUGGGAACUGCGUUUUGAACUGGUAAGCUAGAGUAUNUCAGAGGGGGGUAGAAUUCCACGUGUAGCAGUGAAAUGCGUAGAGAUGUGGAGGAAUACCGAUGGCGAAGGCAGCCCCCUGGGAUAAUACUGACGUUCAUGCUCGAAAGCGUGGGUAGCAAACAGGAUUAGAUACCCUGGUAGUCCACGCCCUAAACGAUGUCAAUUAGCUGUUGGGGCACUUGAUGCCUUAGUAGCGAAGCUAACGCGUGAAAUUGACCGCCUGGGGAGUACGGUCGCAAGAUUAAAACUCAAAGGAAUUGACGGGGACCCGCACAAGCGGUGGAUGAUGUGGAUUAAUUCGAUGCAACGCGAAGAACCUUACCUGGUCUUGACAUGUACGGAAUCUUCCAGAGACGGAAGAGUGCCUUCGGGAGCCGUAACACAGGUGCUGCAUGGCUGUCGUCAGCUCGUGUCGUGAGAUGUUGGGUUAAGUCCCGCAACGAGCGCAACCCUUGUCAUUAGUUGCCACCAUUUAGUUGGGCACUCUAAUGAGACUGCCGGUGACAAACCGGAGGAAGGUGGGGAUGACGUCAAGUCCUCAUGGCCCUUAUGACCAGGGCUUCACACGUCAUACAAUGGUCGGUACAGAGGGUAGCCAAGCCGCGAGGUGGAGCCAAUCUCAGAAAACCGAUCGUAGUCCGGAUUGCACUCUGCAACUCGAGUGCAUG